GGGGGGGGGGGGGGGGGGGGGGGGGGGGGGGGGGGGGGGGGGGGGGGGGGGGGGCGGGGGUUUGUGAUGUUGGCGGGGGACGGGUGAGUGACCCGUGGGGGGGCUACCUGUACGACGGGGGUAACUUCGGGGAGCCGGGGCUGCUACCGGGACAUAGUUUGAACCGCAUGUGUCACAGGUGCACGCCGGUGUUGCUGUCGCUUAUAGAUGCAUCCGCGCUGCCUUAGCUAGUUGGUAAGGUAACGGCCUACCACGGCAACGACGCAUAGCCGACCUGAGAGGGUGAUCGGCCACACUGGAACUGAGACACGGUCCAGACUCCUACGGGAGGCAGCAGGAGGGAAUCUUCCGAAAUGGGCGAAAGCCUGACGGAGCAACGCCGCGUGAGUGAUGAAGGUCUUCGGAUCGUAAAACUCUGUUAUUAGGGAAGAACAUAUGUGUAAGUAACUGUGCACAUCUUGACGGUACCUAAUCAGAAAGCCACGGCUAACUACGUG
rnacentral:rRNA from 1 species